rnacentral:rRNA from 1 species
UUAAGCGACUAAGCGUACACGGUGGAUGCCCUGGCAGUCAGAGGCGAUGAAGGACGUGCUAAUCUGCGAUAAGCGUCGGUGAGGUGAUAUGAACCGUUAUAACCGGCGAUUUCCGAAUGGGGAAACCCAGUGUGUUUCGACACACUAUCAUUAACUGAAUCCAUAGGUUAAUGAGGCGAACCGGGGGAACUGAAACAUCUAAGUACCCCGAGGAAAAGAAAUCAACCGAGAUUCCCCCAGUAGCGGCGAGCGAACGGGGAGGAGCCCAGAGCCUGAAUCAGUGUGUGUGUUAGUGGAAGCGUCUGGAAAGGCGUGCGAUACAGGGUGACAGCCCCGUACACAAAAAUGCACAUAUUGUGAGCUCGAUGAGUAGGGCGGGACACGUGGUAUCCUGUCUGAAUAUGGGGGGACCAUCCUCCAAGGCUAAAUACUCCUGACUGACCGAUAGUGAACCAGUACCGUGAGGGAAAGGCGAAAAGAACCCCGGCGAGGGGAGUGAAAAAGAACCUGAAACCGUGUACGUACAAGCAGUGGGAGCCUCUUAAUGGGGUGACUGCGUACCUUUUGUAUAAUGGGUCAGCGACUUAUAUUCUGUAGCAAGGUUAACCGAAUAGGGGAGCCGAAGGGAAACCGAGUCUUAACUGGGCGUUAAGUUGCAGGGUAUAGACCCGAAACCCGGUGAUCUAGCCAUGGGCAGGUUGAAGGUUGGGUAACACUAACUGGAGGACCGAACCGACUAAUGUUGAAAAAUUAGCGGAUGACUUGUGGCUGGGGGUGAAAGGCCAAUCAAACCGGGAGAUAGCUGGUUCUCCCCGAAAGCUAUUUAGGUAGCGCCUCGUGAAUUCAUCUCCGGGGGUAGAGCACUGUUUCGGCAAGGGGGUCAUCCCGACUUACCAACCCGAUGCAAACUGCGAAUACCGGAGAAUGUUAUCACGGGAGACACACGGCGGGUGCUAACGUCCGUCGUGAAGAGGGAAACAACCCAGACCGCCAGCUAAGGUCCCAAAGUCAUGGUUAAGUGGGAAACGAUGUGGGAAGGCCCAGACAGCCAGGAUGUUGGCUUAGAAGCAGCCAUCAUUUAAAGAAAGCGUAAUAGCUCACUGGUCGAGUCGGCCUGCGCGGAAGAUGUAACGGGGCUAAACCAUGCACCGAAGCUGCGGCAGCGACACUAUGUGUUGUUGGGUAGGGGAGCGUUCUGUAAGCCUGUGAAGGUGGCCUGUGAGGGUUGCUGGAGGUAUCAGAAGUGCGAAUGCUGACAUAAGUAACGAUAAAGCGGGUGAAAAGCCCGCUCGCCGGAAGACCAAGGGUUCCUGUCCAACGUUAAUCGGGGCAGGGUGAGUCGACCCCUAAGGCGAGGCCGAAAGGCGUAGUCGAUGGGAAACAGGUUAAUAUUCCUGUACUUGGUGUUACUGCGAAGGGGGGACGGAGAAGGCUAUGUUGGCCGGGCGACGGUUGUCCCGGUUUAAGCGUGUAGGCUGGUUUUCCAGGCAAAUCCGGAAAACCAAGGCUGAGGCGUGAUGACGAGGCACUACGGUGCUGAAGCGACAAAUGCCCUGCUUCCAGGAAAAGCCUCUAAGCAUCAGGUAACAUCAAAUCGUACCCCAAACCGACACAGGUGGUCAGGUAGAGAAUACCAAGGCGCUUGAGAGAACUCGGGUGAAGGAACUAGGCAAAAUGGUGCCGUAACUUCGGGAGAAGGCACGCUGAUAUGUAGGUGAAGCGACUUGCUCGUGGAGCUGAAAUCAGUCGAAGAUACCAGCUGGCUGCAACUGUUUAUUAAAAACACAGCACUGUGCAAACACGAAAGUGGACGUAUACGGUGUGACGCCUGCCCGGUGCCGGAAGGUUAAUUGAUGGGGUUAGCGGCAACGCGAAGCUCUUGAUCGAAGCCCCGGUAAACGGCGGCCGUAACUAUAACGGUCCUAAGGUAGCGAAAUUCCUUGUCGGGUAAGUUCCGACCUGCACGAAUGGCGUAAUGAUGGCCAGGCUGUCUCCACCCGAGACUCAGUGAAAUUGAACUCGCUGUGAAGAUGCAGUGUACCCGCGGCAAGACGGAAAGACCCCGUGAACCUUUACUAUAGCUUGACACUGAACAUUGAGCCUUGAUGUGUAGGAUAGGUGGGAGGCUUUGAAGUGUGGACGCCAGUCUGCAUGGAGCCGACCUUGAAAUACCACCCUUUAAUGUUUGAUGUUCUAACGUUGGCCCGUAAUCCGGGUUGCGGACAGUGUCUGGUGGGUAGUUUGACUGGGGCGGUCUCCUCCUAAAGAGUAACGGAGGAGCACGAAGGUUGGCUAAUCCUGGUCGGACAUCAGGAGGUUAGUGCAAUGGCAUAAGCCAGCUUGACUGCGAGCGUGACGGCGCGAGCAGGUGCGAAAGCAGGUCAUAGUGAUCCGGUGGUUCUGAAUGGAAGGGCCAUCGCUCAACGGAUAAAAGGUACUCCGGGGAUAACAGGCUGAUACCGCCCAAGAGUUCAUAUCGACGGCGGUGUUUGGCACCUCGAUGUCGGCUCAUCACAUCCUGGGGCUGAAGUAGGUCCCAAGGGUAUGGCUGUUCGCCAUUUAAAGUGGUACGCGAGCUGGGUUUAGAACGUCGUGAGACAGUUCGGUCCCUAUCUGCCGUGGGCGCUGGAGAACUGAGGGGGGCUGCUCCUAGUACGAGAGGACCGGAGUGGACGCAUCACUGGUGUUCGGGUUGUCAUGCCAAUGGCACUGCCCGGUAGCUAAAUGCGGAAGAGAUAAGUGCUGAAAGCAUCUAAGCACGAAACUUGCCCCGAGAUGAGUUCUCCCUGACUCCUUGAGAGUCCUGAAGGAACGUUGAAGACGACGACGUUGAUAGGCCGGGUGUGUAAGCGCAGCGAUGCGUUGAGCUAACCGGUACUAAUGAACCGUGAGGCU